UCGGCCUUAAACUGUGAGUUUUGUUUUUUAAUCUGUGAUAUUUUUGUGGUCCUCUUUCCAGUGUUUCUGAGCUGCUGUGAGAACGUGAAAUAUAGGCUCUGGUGGCAGUUCAAUCAGUGCCCUCCUCAGAGGCAAGAGGUCUUUCUUACAGCCACUUGAUAUUCCAGGGUUUUUUUAUAUAUCUUUCUUUCUUUUUUUUACAGCCUAGCACCGAACACACAUUGGAGCAGGAGUUUUCAGUGAUCUCUAGGCUUGUUUCUGAGUGGUUAUUCUCCAAGUUUGAUCCAGAAGAAUUUCAAUACCUUGCUGAACAUGUUCAUCAUUCCGUAAAACUGUAGCAGAAAUCACAAGGUCUACUGAGCCGAAUU
rnacentral:lncRNA from 1 species